ensembl:lncRNA
CUUCCUGUGAAUCCCUCUCGCAGGUGCUGACAUCUUGUCCUGAAACCUUCUUAUUGGUCACAGAGGGGGUAUGGGAUGUUGGGACGACCCCAGUGGCAGGGCAGACACAGCCAGCCUGAAGCUGAUCACACUGAUGUACUGAGAUAAGUGGAUGCAGCAUGAGAGUAUCAUGGAUGAAGAUUUACAGCAGGAGGAGCGAGCUAAAAGUCUGAGGAUUGCAACAAAGACGACUGGAGAUGGUGCCAUGCUUAAAAGAAAGGGUGACAUUUGAAGCUGCCAGCAGAGAUGGAUGUGGCGUUUGUGUGGCUGGCCAGGUCAUCCAGAGUGCAACAUGUGGCCUAGAGGAACAAGAAACCAGCGAUAGAUAGAGAGAGAGAGAGAGAGAGAGAGAGAGAAAAGACAUUCUAAUCCCAC